GCCCCUGUUGUCUAAUGGUUAUGACGUCAGACUUCUACGUUUCGACCCCUGGCGAGACUCGUAGCCGUGGAUCUGGAGGUUGCGAGUUCGAGUCUCGCCAGGGGUU